AUGACGUCUCUGUUCAUCUCAGUGUUGCUGGCUGCUAUGUGCCUUGAAUGCAGAGCACAACAAGACAACGUGCUGCAGCCAAAAGGAGAUGUGACUGCUACUAAGGGAGAGACAGUAACACUUGAAUGUCAAUAUAAAACCAGUUCAACAAGUAAUUACCUCUUCUGGUACAAACAGGACGGAAACAACAGACCCAAAUUCAUCCUGAGCCGCGUUAUACUGGAUAACGGGAACACAGUAGAUGAGUUCAAGGAAAGAUUUUCAUCAACUUUGAAUUCAACCUCAAGAUCAGUUCCUCUGAAGAUCCAGAAGCUGCAGCUGUCUGACUCUGCUGUGUACUACUGUGCUCUGAGGCCCACAGUGACAGGAAACGCCAAAACU